rnacentral:rRNA from 1 species
GUGGGGAAUAUUGGGCAAUGGGCGAAAGCCUGACCCAGCAACGCCGCGUGAAGGAAGAAGGUUUUCGGAUUGUAAACUUCUGUCCUCAGGGAAGAAGGAAGUGACGGUACCUGAGGAGGAAGCCCCGGCUAACUACGUGCCAGCAGCCGCGGUAAUACGUAGGGGGCGAGCGUUGUCCGGAAUGACUGGGCGUAAAGGGCGUGUAGACGGCUGUCUAAGUCUGGAGUGAAAGUCCUGCUUUCAAGGUGGGAAUUGCUUUGGAGACUGGAUGGCUUGAGUGCGGAAGAGGUAAGUGGAAUUCCCAGUGUAGCGGUGAAAUGCGUAGAGAUUGGGAAGAACACCAGUGGCGAAGGUGACUUACUGGGCCGUAACUGACGUUGAUGCGCGAAAGCGUGGGGAGCGAACAGGAUUAGAUACCCGUGUAGUCC